UGGGGAAUCUUGCGCAAUGGGCGAAAGCCUGACGCAGCAACGCCGCGUGGGGGAUGAAGGCUCUCGGGUUGUAAACCCCUUUCAGCAGGGACGAAAAUGACGGUACCUGCAGAAGAAGCCCCGGCCAACUACGUGCCAGCAGCCGCGGUAACACGUAGGGGGCAAGCGUUGUCCGGAAUUACUGGGCGUAAAGAGCUCGUAGGCGGUUCGGUAAGUCAGAUGUGAAAACUCCGGGCUCAACCCGGAGACGCCAUCUGAUACUGCUGUGACUUGAGUCCGGUAGAGGAGCGUGGAAUUCCUGGUGUAGCGGUGAAAUGCGCAGAUAUCAGGAGGAACACCGACGGCGAAGGCAGCGCUCUGGGCCGGUACUGACGCUGAGGAGCGAAAGCGUGGGUAGCAAACAGGAUUAGAUACCCCCGUAGUCC
rnacentral:rRNA from 1 species